AUUGAACGCUGGCGGCAGGCCUAACACAUGCAAGUCGAGCGGUAACAGGAAGAAGCUUGCUUCUUUGCUGACGAGCGGCGGACGGGUGAGUACAACUUGGGAACUUGCCUUUAGGAGGGGGACAACCACGGGAAACUGUGGCUAAUACCGCAUAAUAUCUUCGGAUCAAAGUAGGGGCUCUUCGGACCUUACGCCUAAAGAUAGGCCCAAGCGAGAUUAGCUAGUUGGUGAGGUAAAGGCUCACCAAGGCGACGAUCUCUAGCUGUUCUGAGAGGAUGAUCAGCCACACUGGGACUGAGACACGGCCCAGACUCCUACGGGAGGCAGCAGUGGGGAAUAUUGCACAAUGGGGGAAACCCUGAUGCAGCCAUGCCGCGUGUGUGAAGAAGGCCUUCGGGUUGUAAAGCACUUUCAGUGGUGAGGAAGGCCGUAAGAUUAAUACUCUUGCGGAUUGACGUUAGCCACAGAAGAAGCACCGGCUAACUCCGUGCCAGCCGCCGCGGUAACAC
rnacentral:rRNA from 1 species